rnacentral:rRNA from 1 species
UUGCUUUUUGGUAAAAAUAAAAAGUAGGGUCUGCCCGGUGAAAAUUUUAACGGCCGCAAUAUUUGUGCGAAGGUAGCAUAAUAAUUUGUCUUUUAAUUAAUGACUGGAAUGAAUGGCUGGACGGAAAUAGACUGUCUUUUUUAUAUUUAUUUUAAAUUUACUUUCAAGUUAAAAGGCUUGAAUACUAUAGAGGGACGAGAAGACCCUAUUGAGUUUAAUAUUCAAUAAUUAAUUUUUCUUAAAUUUUUAACAAAAAUAUUUAGUUGGGGAGACUUUGUAAUAAAAUCUAUGUUAGAUUAAUUAGACAUUAAGUUUUUUAGAUCCAUUAUUUAUGAUUUAUAGAAAAAUUACCUUAGGGAUAACAGCGUUAUAUUUUUUUAGAGUUCUAAUCGAUUAAAAUGUUUACGACCUCGAUGUUGGAUUAAAGAGUCUAAUUUGGAGAAAAAGCUAAUUUAGAUAGUCUGUUCGACUAUUAAAUCUUUACGUGA